rnacentral:rRNA from 1 species
GCAACCUACCCAUGAGAUCGGGAUAACUCCGGGAAACCGGAGCUAAUACCGAAUAACCCAGUGAACUGCAUGGUUCACUGGUAAAAGGCGGUUUCGGCCGUCACUCAUGGAUGGGCCCGCGGCGCAUUAGCUAGUUGGUAAGGUAACGGCUUACCAAGGCAACGAUGCGUAGCCGACCUGAGAGGGUGAUCGGCCACACUGGGACUGAGACACGGCCCAGACUCCUACGGGAGGCAGCAGUAGGGAAUCUUCCGCAAUGGACGAAAGUCUGACGGAGCAACGCCGCGUGAACGAUGAAGGUCUUCGGAUCGUAAAGUUCUGUUGUUAGGGAAGAACAAGUACCAGAGGAAAUGCUGGUACCUUGACGGUACCUAACCAGAAAGCCACGGCUAACUACGUGCCAGCAGCCGCGGUAAUACGUAGGUGGCAAGCGUUGUCCGGAAUUAUUGGGCGUAAAGCGCGCGCAGGCGGUUUCUUAAGUCUGAUGUGAAAGCCCACAGCUCAACUGUGGAGGGCCAUUGGAAACUGGGGAACUUGAGUACAGAAGAGGAGAGUGGAAUUCCACGUGUAGCGGUGAAAUGCGUAGAUAUGUGGAGGA